rnacentral:rRNA from 1 species
UGGGGAAUAUUGCGCAAUGGGCGAAAGCCUGACGCAGCAACGCCGCGUGAGUGAUGAAGGCCUUCGGGUCGUAAAGCUCUGUCGGAGGGAACGAAUGCUCCCGAGGUUAAUAGCCUCGGGAGGUGACGGUACCUUCAAAGGAAGCACCGGCUAACUUCGUGCCAGCAGCCGCGGUAAUACGUAGGGGGCAAGCGUUGUCCAGAUUUAUUGGGCGUAAAGAGCGUGUAGGCGGCCAUGUAGGUCCGUUGUGAAAACUCGAGGCUCAACCUCGAGACGCCGAUGGAAACCAUGUGGCUAGAGUCCGGAAGAGGAGAGUGGAAUUCCUGGUGUAGCGGUGAAAUGCGCAGAUAUCAGGAAGAACACCCGUGGCUAAGGCGGCUCUCUAGUACGGUACUGACGCUGAGACGCGAAAGCGUGGGGAGCGAAC